GAUGAACGCUGGCGGCGUGCCUAAUACAUGCAAGUCGAGCGAACGGACGAGAAGCUUGCUUCUCUGAUGUUAGCGGCGGACGGGUGAGUAACACGUGGAUAACCUACCUAUAAGACUGGGAUAACUUCGGGAAACCGGAGCUAAUACCGGAUAAUAUUUUGAACCGCAUGGUUCAAAAGUGAAAGACGGUCUUGCUGUCACUUAUAGAUGGAUCCGCGCUGCAUUAGCUAGUUGGUAAGGUAACGGCUUACCAAGGCAACGAUGCAUAGCCGACCUGAGAGGAUGAGGAGGCAAACAGUAACGGAGACACGGUCCAGACUCCAAGGGGAGACAGCGGAGGGAAAUUUUGCACAAUGGGCCAAAGCCUGAUCAACCCAUGCGGCGGGGGUAAAGAAGGUCUUCGAAUUUUAAAACACUUUAAGACGGGAAGAAAGAAAGGAAAAUCAAAACUUGACGUUGUGACGUUAGCAACAAAAAAAGCAACGGCUAAAUUCGUG
rnacentral:rRNA from 1 species